rnacentral:ncRNA from 2 species
CAAAAACCGACGAUCGAGAAUAGUAGCUGGUCUCCACCUGCCAAGAGAGGAAAUGCCCUGGGCUGCAAGCAUUUCUGCAAGGUACAUCAGUGAAUGAACACUCGGGAGGCUCCGCCCUGAAACCAGAGUAGGGGACGGACGUACCAGGCGUUAACUGGUGAAGUGGGAGUCUAAUGGACUCCAAUUAGGGUGGCACCACGGGAAUAACAGCUCUCGUCCCUUGU